rnacentral:tRNA from 1 species
GUCUCCGUAGCUCAACCGGAUAGAGCAUUCGCCUCCUAAGCGAAGGGUUGCAGGUUCGAUUCCUGUCGGGGACGCCA